GGGGGUAGCUCAGUGGUAGAGCGUCUGCUUCCCAAGCAGGAUGUCGCGGGUUCGAUCCCCGUCCCCC
rnacentral:tRNA from 1 species